rnacentral:rRNA from 1 species
CCUACGGGAGGCAGCAGUGGGGAAUUUUGGACAAUGGGCGCAAGCCUGAUCCAGCAAUGCCGCGUGCAGGAUGAAGGCCUUCGGGCUGUAAACUGCUUUUGUACGGAACGAAACGGUCUGCCCUAAUACGGUGGGCUAAUGACGGUACCGUAAGAAUAAGCACCGGCUAACUACGUGCCAGCAGCCGCGGUAAUACGUAGGGUGCGAGCGUUAAUCGGAAUUACUGGGCGUAAAGCGUGCGCAGGCGGUUAUAUAAGACAGAUGUGAAAUCCCCGGGCUCAACCUGGGACCUGCAUUUGUGACUGUAUAGCUAGAGUACGGUAGAGGGGGAUGGAAUUCCGCGUGUAGCAGUGAAAUGCGUAGAUAUGCGGAGGAACACCGAUGGCGAAGGCAAUCCCCUGGACCUGUACUGACGCUCAUGCACGAAAGCGUGGGGAGCAAACAGGAUUAGAUACCCUGGUAGUCCACGCCCUAAACGAUGUCAACUGGUUGUUGGGUCUUCACUGACUCAGUAACGAAGCUAACGCGUGAAGUUGACCGCCUGGGGAGUACGGCCGCAAGGUUGAAACGUCAAAGAGUAGUAGGACGUGNGAGAGACGACGGACGACGACGACGGAGGGAGGAG